GAAGGUGUAGGUAAAAAACCGGAAUGGUAAUCCGAGUAUUCUGCACAGUAAUCGUUGCUAGAAAUGUGGUCCAUUCCACUACAACGUGUAAUCUCAGCUGCCUGUCGAAGACGAGCGCAAGUUCACAAGAUAAAUGAAUCUGGUGGUUUAUUCUAUUCAAAUUAGAGGGGCAUGGGGAAUAAUCUGAAGUGACGCACUAAACCUUACUCCACUUAGAAAGCUGAAUCUUAGGAGUCAGUUCAGUUCCUGCAUGGCCUAUUCUAGUUUGUGAUAUGAGUCGGAAGAAUCUCGCUAAAACCUUGGAAGGACACUUUCGUAGGAGGAAUUAUGGUUGUUAUGGGCCCUAGAGUGGAGGCUACCUUCGUGCCACAAGGCCUUAUACAAGAUACG
rnacentral:rRNA from 1 species